rnacentral:rRNA from 1 species
UUUUAUUUGAGAGUUUGAUCCUGGCUCAGGAUGAACGCUGGCGGCGUGCCUAACACAUGCAAGUUGAGCGAUUUACUUCGGUAAAGAGCGGCGGACGGGUGAGUAACGCGUGGGUAACCUACCCUGUACACACGGAUAACAUACCGAAAGGUAUGCUAAUACGGGAUAAUAUAUUUGAGAGGCAUCUCUUAAAUAUCAAAGGUGAGCCAGUACAGGAUGGACCCGCGUCUGAUUAGCUAGUUGGUAAGGUAACGGCUUACCAAGGCGACGAUCAGUAGCCGACCUG